ACCCGCUGAACUUAAGCAUAUCAAUAAGCGGAGGAAAAGAAACCAACGGGGAUUGCCUCAGUAACGGCGAGUGAAGCGGCACCAGCUCAGAUUUGAAAUCUGGCCCCAGGCCCGAGUUGUAAUCUGCAGAGGAUGCUCCGGCGAAGGCCCCGGCCCAAGUCCCCUGGAACGGGACGUCCUAGAGGGUGAGAACCCCGUCAGGCCGCGGGCCCCAGCCUUGUGUUGCUCCUUCGACGAGUCGAGUUGUUUGGGAAUGCAGCUCUAAACGGGUGGUAAAUUCCAUCUAAAGCUAAAUACCGGCCAGAGACCGAUAGCGCACAAGUAGAGUGAUCGAAAGAUGAAAAGCACUUUGAAAAGAGAGUCAAACAGCACGUGAAAUUGUUGAAAGGGAAGCGCUUGCGGCCAGACCCGCCCGUGGUUGCUCGACCGGCCUUCGGCCGGCUCACUCUCCCACGGUAGGGCCAGCAUCGGUUGGGGCGGCCGGAUAAAGGCCCGGGGAACGUGGCCCUUCGGGGCGUUAUAGCCCCGGGUGCAAUGCGGCCAGCCCCGACCGAGGGAAGCGUUCGCUAGGAUGCUGGCGUAAUGGCCUCAAGCGGCCCGUCUUGAAACACGGACC
rnacentral:rRNA from 1 species